rnacentral:lncRNA from 1 species
AAUAUUUCACAAAAUUCAUGUUUUACUGUAUUUUUGAUCAUAAGAGGCUUCUAUAACAAUAUAUUCUAAUAUUAUUCCAAACAUUUGACUGGUAGUUUAACGCUCUCAGACAUUUAAAGUGUUUGUUUUGUCUUUAUAAUUAAUUCAUUAAAAAUAAAUAAAUGUUUAUUCAUUUAUUAAUUCAUUAAUUCAUUCCAAACAUUAGUACUUUAGCUGUCUUAGAGGUAAGUGUUUCUUUUGUCCUUUUCUUGUGCAUUUUAACAUUUGCAUGCAAUCUAACAACUAACGAAGAGCUACUGUAACUCUACUGUACACCAGUCAUCACCAACCAGAUGUUGUUGAGUUACACCUUUCACAUGUUCAACUUUUCACAAAAAUAUAACAAGCAAAUCACAUACUGUACAUUCUAAAUAUGACACACUUUACUGCCAUAUAAGACACAUGCAGACUUUAAAUCCAGCACAUUGCUGAAUAUCAAUGAGUGAGGGGGGGAAACAGGCGUUAAUAAAAGGAUGAUUGUUGCUGCUGGCUGGAGUAGGCAGAGGCAUGGAUGGAAUUGUGCCUCUAUUUCAAUGCAUCUAUUGCACAUCAGCUGUAAGGCUUGUAACACAUUCCCAAGGGCUUAUUCUCUGGAUUUGUCUAUAGGAUCCAGUGGACAUAAAGAGCAGCACAGAGCCGGAGCCGGAGGCUGAAGCUCUCAAACCCAGUCCAGUGGAAGCUGCAGAAGAAAAUAACCCGUCAGAGGAGGCCAAAGCAGCAGAAAAGACAGUUAUGAACUUUUUCAAAACAUUUGUCACUCCGACCAAAACAAGCAAAGAAGCCAAAGCCACUCCUGAUGCUUCUAAAGAGCAGUCACAGAAAGAGACCCCACCAGCACCAUCUACUAAUGAAGCACCCAAGGCACCCCCUCCUCCUCCCCCAGCGCCACCUAAGAUGGAAAGCAAAGCAGAGCCGGCGGUGAAGAAAGAGGACACGUCUGCAACAAAAGCAGCCGCGGCAGCUGCAACAAAAGCAGAGGGAUCUGCCAAGAGCAAAACUAAAGACAGUGCAUUAGGCAAACUCUUCCGUUCAAAGGUCGACGCGUCUAAGAGCAGCACUCUCGAGGCCGCUGCAAAACCUGAAGAUCCUCCAGCACCAAAACCAGAGGAGAAGAAACCAGAGAAGAAAUCCACUUUUGGAAGCAUGUUUAAACCCAAGGCACCAGAGCCCAAGAAGGAGACUCCAGCUGCUCCUCCUGCGGCAGAAGCUGCUCCACCUGCGAAGGCCAAAGAAGAGUCACCGCAAGCGACCCCGGACAACAAAUCAGCCGAAAGCACAGAGAACGCCUCCCCAAACAUGCCCACAAGCUGGAGAAGAGGAACUCCUUCCAGCUGUUCUUCAAAAACCUGGCUAAGUAGAAACGCAGAGAUUCUCCAGGGCUAGGGAUCCCACUCAAACCUGUGAGCAUUUGCAAUCUGUGUAGUUUAACUCUUCAGCUGUAUGUAGUUUUCCCGGUUAAAUGCUGUCGAGAAACAUUUCGUAAUUCUGUCCGAUGUCUAACCAUCCGGAGUAUUUUGAUAUUGCUGGCUAUUAAUCUUAAAACAGUGAUCUGUGAGGUGAUGAAAUGAUUAAUUGCAUCCAAACAAGUGUUUUAUUAUGUAAACAAAAACUUUUAUUUUGGAUGCGAUUAAUCGGCAAUAAUUACAAUACAAAAAUCAACAUUCACAGGGUGUGAACACCAUAUGGCAUCAAUUGCCAACCUAUCUAGAUUAUUAAAUUAAUUCCACAUCAGUUUAUUUGAAUUUUAAUAAAAUGCUGAUUUAAAAAAAAAGUGAUAAUAUUUAAUUAAAUUGGGCGCAAAUAUAUUGCAUGUACAUUUUUUUUAUUGCAUGGAAUCUAAUAAUAUUGGCAUUAAAUUUAAUUAUCUAAAUAUGUAAUUCUAAUCUUUGUUUGGCAAUGUAUAACUUCUCCAUAAAUAAACUAUUUUUUUUUGUCAUGUAAUAUGAAUAUAAUUGUCCCCAAUUAUUGUUAUUUCAAGUGGGAUCGUCCCUGUCAGUUUUCCUCAGAAAAAAACAUGACAACUAAAUUAGCGCAGAUAAUAAAGCACAGAAAUUGUCCAAAGUUGCUCUGGAUUCGCUUAGUAAAUAAAAGCCCAGUUGUCAGGUGGGUUGCAAAGGGUUUUUGCCUUCAGACACCAUUAUGGACGAGUGGUAAAAAACACACACUUUCUUGCUAAGUUAGGAUCUCUAAUGUUGCGUUAUGCGUUGGUGUGUCUCACAAAAACGCCAUUCUGAUGGCGGAGUGCAAACGGAGCCUGCGGCACCCGAGAAGGCCAAAUAAAACCCCACCUUUGUUUUGAUCGCUCAUCUCUGCCAAAACCAUUGCGCAUAAGAACAUAUUUGCCAUAGAUGGGAGGUAUUAUGCUGAUUUACGAGGCCCAAAUUUGAAAGUAACUAUCAAAUAAUUAAUCCCCAUGCAUUUAGUGAGAGCAGAAGCAAGUGUAAUGAUAUACACUGUUAAGCAAGUGGCCACAUGUGUUUUCGACUGGAGGGAGGAACUUGUUUGUUUCCUGCAGAGAACCGUGUCAGAGUUGUGUGUUGUGGCAUGAGAUGGAAAAGUGAAAGUGAAAAUGCAAUCCUGCAUUUCAGAAUAAACUCCCUUUUCUGUGCAUGAUAAAAUGUCAAAUAUGUUAACUGAACUAACACUAUUGUCGUAUUGCAAUUGCAAUUCACAUGCAUUAUGCAUUAAAAGCAUUGCAUUUUCACCUGGACAAAGCAAACAUCAUGCAUGUUUACAUGUGAAAAGAAAUUAUUUAUGUAAUCAUACACUAUCUGAUCUGAAAACAAUGACCUGUUGUCUGCUAUUUCAAUCACUGAAACCUACAAAGCCAACUUGAAUUCCACUUAAAGCGCAAAACUUCUGAAUCACCAUAGAAAUCAAAAUAGUUUAUUUAACAUAAUGUCAAUCAAACUGAGCACCGUAUAUUAUAAACAACUUACUUGGUCAUUUAAGUUUUCAACAAAAAAAAACCUACACUUUGUUUUCAUUUCCACUUAGAAGAUUUAUUUAUUUAUUAAUCAUGACUUACUAACUAAACCACAUUGCAAUUAUUGUCUUGUUAUUUGCUUGGCCGUCCGGUUCUGAUCAGGGGAGACUAAAAAGAAAUUAAUCUAGUUAAAUAUUUUAUUGUAUUUCUUAUUUUUAUGAACAGUACAGUUUGAGAUAAAUUUGUGGUAUACAGUUAGGCCAUAUACAAUGUACAUUCAACUCUGCAGUCGCAUUUACUUUAAUGAUUUUCUUCCUAAUUUUCUCUACAUUUGUAAAGAGUAGAAGGGCCAUAUUCAGAAUUCAGACUAUAUGCAUGAAUCUUAUACUGUCUGUAUCUUCUUUGUUGCAUAUUUCUCUAUUUAACCAAUGUAUAAAAAUAAAAUAAUAAUUUCUCUCCUCUGUAAAAUGACUCAUUCUGUAU